rnacentral:lncRNA from 1 species
GAAAAGGUUGGGGGUUGCUGCUCCACAAUAUUAUUCUAGCCAUCUUUUUAUUGGUUUCCUAUAAACUCAAAAAUAGCCAUUUAGUAUUAUCCUCACCUCUAUGCUCCUCUGCACCCGUCUAUACACAAAUACUCAAAACCUCACACGUGGCUCACAUUACCUUCUGCCACUAUCAUCCCCGCCAGCUGCUUAAGUUGAUGCAGGAGUUGUCAGAAGUUAAGUGACUUUCCUCAAGGUUAAGCAGGAAUAUGCAAAGGAAGAGCUGGGACCAUCAGUCUCUGACUAGAGAAUCAUAAAGUCAGAACGUGAGCUGACAUGGCCUUUACUUGGACAGGGCCACUUGCAUAUCGAUUGCGUCUCUGGCACAAGUCAUGGAGACCUGGCUGCCAGGAAGGAAAACUGCAGAGAACAGAGCAGAACAAUACUCUUCUAUGGAGAGGCUCAAUGAAGAUUGAAGUUUCAUUUUUGAACCAUGAGAUCUAAUUUCUGAUUAUCCCAAAGUAUACACUUACAGCCUACCAGCCCCAUGAAAUACUCCACUGAAAAGGAAAACAAUGAUUCCACGGUCAAAUAAUCUUAGGAAACGCUGCAUGUUUUAUAUACAUCAUGGAAAUUGAAGACUCUGAGAAGUCCUGCCUCAAAGAAACCUGCUCAGCUUUGUUUAAUUCAGCAUUUCCCAGUCACAUUUAGGUCCAAGUCCAGGCUAAAGAGCCCCUUUCCCUGUGCUAACAGGACAAAGAGAUGACCAGGACAGAAGGUUCACAGCAGACUAUAAAGAUGGAAAUUUGGAAAGGGGAGGUGAACCCAUUUCUCACAUAAAAGUUUCAUUUCAUUUCAAUAAUUUUCCCAAAGAAGCAAGACUUGAGGAUCCUGUGGGUAGAUGGCUGUCUUCCAAUAUUCCUAUCCUAAAUGUUCCUUGAUUAAUAAACCCAUGAUCUUCUCCCUGCAUGGAGCCUGCUGAGCUCUGAACUCUUAAAUGGUAUUUCUAUCAUCAUCUUCACAGAGAUAGUUCCUAAACUAAAGAUUACAAAGUUUUUGGAACCCAAGUCAAGCCUUUUGCAUCCCUCGGUUGGUUGAACAUGCUGUGUCUAGGGGCUCUUUGGCAAUCUGUUACAGAGAAAUCCAUUAAAAUGCCAGUCAACUUAUCUCUUGGCUGAAGCUAUCCAUUGUGAUGUGUCUGAGUUCUAGGGGAGGAAUUCUUUAGUCUAGACCUAAAAGAAUUAAAGCAUUGAGUUUGGAGUGUUGCCUCAUGAAAGGUCAAAGGAAUUUCUUUCCAUAUAUGUGGCAUCGCACUAUCACCUGCUAGAGAUUUAGACCAGGAAAUAGACAGACUGCAGCCCGCUGGUACCUUCAUUUUUGGUCAUUUUUCCUUUGAUGCAGAGUAGUUCAAGGACCAUGUCUUAUAUUUCCCCUUUGCCCUGAUAGUGCUUACUUAACACACUGUUAUAGCCAGUGUGCAGGCUCAAAAUUACAGAAUCAUAGGCUGCAAAGGUGAUGUUUGAGAGAAUCUAUUGUGUGGGGGGGUCUGCUUAUGGAUGCUUAACACCAUAUUUGAUAUAUUAUUAGUUAGGUCUCCUUGACUCCAUGACUAGUCAUGCUAUGAGUUACUUACUCUUAGCCCCUGUGAUUUCAGCUCAGUUCUUUAACAUUCAUUCUCCAAGCAUUACACCACAUGCUUCCACUGAAAAGAUGAAUGAGGCACAGACUUUUCCCUCAUGAGGCUUGUUCCUUCAUGAAAAAGAAAAAUGACCAUACAUUGUGCAUGACACAGGUAAGUACAGGACAUCGGUUGCACAGUGAAGAAACCAAUAACUAAGACAUGGAGGGCUUAGGAGGCUUUUCAGGGGAAGCGACGCAAUACCCAGGAAGAAUCCUGAAGGAUAUAUAGGAGUUUCAAUGCUAAGAAGAGGGGAAAGGCACUUCAUGAGGAGAGGACUGUGUGAGUGAAGGCUUAAAAGCAUGAAACCACAUGAGGCAAUGGAGGACCUGUGUGUCAUCUGGGUGCCGCAGAGCCUAAACUACAAAGACAACAGCAUUCGUUGGGGGAUAAGGGGUGAUAAAUAGUUUUUCACUUUGGCCAUUUCUGCAAAGGCAACUGGUUGAAACAUGAGUUUACCCCUCUGUCUGUUGAUAGGGCUGUUGCAGGUGUUAAGCCCCAGUAUACAAUAAGCACUCUUCAGCUGUUUGUCACUAUAGUUUUUAUUAAUUUUAAGACUUUCACUCAUGAAUUUUCUUAGACACUUCUUUAGGAAAUAGGACUCUGAAACUGUCUGCCUGGAUACUAUUUUUUUUUAAACCCUUGCCAACAUAAGUUCAUUCUGUGUAAAUGCUUUUAUUUUCUUCCUUUAAAAGGUAUGUAAGCAUCCAAACGGUGAAAGCAUUUAAGCAAAACUAUACUUUUGUCAAGAUUGACGAAUAGUGAUUCAGGCAGGAGAGAGGUCUGAUUAAAGCAUCUCUCUGAUCAGUCAUUUGAUUCCUAGGCUUGCAUAAAGAUGCAUGUUUUUUAGCAAGAGAGGGGGAGAAAUCAGGAAAACAUAGAUGUAUCAGUAAGUGCUGUAGUUAUUCUCCAAUGAGGAGGUGAAUAAAGCCCAAGCUUCUGAGUCAGAUCGUCUCAAGUUCAAGCCCCAGCUCUGCCACUGAUGAACUAAGGGAGUUUGGAUGAGUCAGCUGAGAUCUCUGAGCUUCCUUGUCCUCAUUGGUAAAAUGAGGCUAAAGCUACUAGUGUUGUUCUGAGAAUUAAAUAAGAUAAUGCAUCUAAAGCACCUAGCAUUUGUCUAAAGGAAUAAUAGUUAUUAUCAUCGGUAGUAUUACAUAACUUGUCUCUGUCAAUAUGGAGUAAAUUAACCAGAAUCUAGAGCUUUGGGGAAACAAUAUACCAAAACAAACAAUAUCUUGGAGAAACAAUGGCAAAGGCCAGGAACAGGGUAUGCCAUUGUUAAAACCUGUCAGCCAAUUAGUUUAGAGUCAUCCUUUCUUGAGCAUUUAUUGAGCAUCUACUACAUGCUAGGUACUUUCUCAAAUAUUGGGGAUGUAGAAAUGAACAACAGGCAAAAAUUACUGCUGUUGUAAAUCUUACACUCUAGUGGGGAAAGAACAACAAUAAAAACUUGAAUUCAAGUAAAGCAAGUAGCAUGCCAGAUGGUGAUAAGUAGUCUGCUGAAAAAUAAAGCAAAGACUGGAGAAUGUGCAUGCUGGAGUUUGGAGGAGGGUUUAUCAUUUUCCACAGGGUGGUUACUGCCAAAAAGCUCCCUGCGGAGGUGAUUUGGAAUUUGUACCAUUCACAGAAUAUCCUGCAUGGGACCCAAAAUGGCACCUGCAGCUCAGAGCAGAAAUUAGAAGCCAGAAGGUGGAUUUAGGUGACACUUCAAGCAACUUCCUUAUAAGCUGCUCAGCUGCUCUUUCCCAUUAGAGUCUUCGUGUGUACUGGAGUCAGUUCCUUUAGAACAGGGCACUGUCAUGCACAAGCAAUAAAUGCCACCCACACAUGUCAGACUUGGAGAGGUCCCUGCUGCCACCUGGAGCCCACUUGGAGAGGGAGUGUUUGGUAAUUGAGGGUAAGGCUGCAUUGCAAGGGAGCUGCCAGGUACCCCAAGUCACCGUUCUCCUGUUCCACAAAGUCCUGUGGAAGCAAGAGGUAGUAUUCAGUGAUGUAUCCUCACAAUAGGAAUGGGAGAGUAACAAGACUCAUCUCUGGUGAGAAUUUUUCCCCCAGUGGAGCUCACCCUUUCUGGAUGAAGAUAAGGCAAAUGGUAAUGCCAGGGAGGUGACACUGUGGCCCCUUGCCUUUUGGGUUCACAUGCAGAAGUGACUUCACCCAGUGAAAAAAUGUCUUCAUUCAAAACAGCUUUUUCUGCUCAAGCUAUUAAGAGAUAAAAUGUUCCUUCAAGCUGUGAUCUCAAUGGGGAUAAAAAACUUAGCAGAAAUCUCUUCUCCUGAAAUGGGUUAAAUUUGGGCCAUCAACAGGCCACACAUUUCUUUUCUGUCUUCACUAUGUGGAAUUAUCACUUAUGAUCUCCUACUAGGUGCCAAGUAUAAACUGACACAGACGUCAACUAGGAAUUCCUUUAACUACAAGUAGCGGAAUACAGAGUUGCCAGUGAUUUGAAUGAUAAAUUCAUUUAGUUAUGUCACUGUAACUGUACAGCCUGGUGUGGGGCAGAGAAAUGUUAUCAAGAACCCUGACUCUUGUAGAUCUCUGCCCUGCCAUCUUUAACCUGUUGGGUUUCUCAGUUCUUAUGCUUUUUGCCUCUUAGUCACUACGUCAAUCAGCAUUCAUGGGAGGAAGAAGGAAAAUGGGCAGCCCCGGCAUCAUCUGUCCUUUUGAUCAGGAAAGCCAACAUUUUCCUACAGAGCUGCAUCAUAGAGGACAUAGUGACAGUCCUUGUCUGGUUCCAUCUUGAAAAGGUGGCAUGGAGUCAUCGACAGUCUGGCCCACAUCACCCACCAAGAUCUUGCCCCCUCCAGGAUGAUGUUCUUCCUGUCUUCCCUCAAGCAGAAGAGCACCUUCUCUUGCGCUUCUUCACCUCCUCUGGCAUCAAAGACUUGCACCCCUUCAUGUCAUUAAUCACCUUGUGAUGCUGUCAGAGGCAACCACCCUGGAAGCCUUGUUUUUGGAAGUGAAAAGGGGAUGGUAAGAAGAGCCAGGGAAGAGGAGAGCUGCUGCAGCUGCUGCUAGGAUCUGACUACUGCACUGUUUUUGCUUGUUUUUGUUUUUCACAUAAGAGCAUCCUACCAAGCUGUGAACACUUUCAUCAAAAAGAAGGACCACUUUGUUAUUUAAAAGAGAACGGCCCAGUGAUUGGAUCAAGGUAGAAAUGUAAUAGAUACUUGUUAAAUAAGUAAAUUAAUACUCUUUUUGGGGCCUGGAAUACCACCCAAUGCCAUCCUUUUCCUGUUAGCCCCUUCCCGAUUCCCUAAACAAGAUAAGAGCUUUCUCUUUGAACCAUCCUAGGAUUUCCCUUCCAUUUCUGUCAUGGCACUUGUCACAUUUCACCUUAUAUUUUUAUUACUUAGGUAAUUCCCUGACUUAUACUCAGAAUGAGGAGCAGGCUAUAGAACAGUGAUCACAACUACCUUCAAAUAAUAAUAUUUUACUCACACACAACAUAAGAAACAGUAUGCUUUCAUUCUUCCCUAUCUUUUAUCAUUAUUGUCAUGCAUUUUACUUUUAUUUAUGUUACAAA